rnacentral:rRNA from 1 species
AUACGGAGGGAGCAAGCGUUAUUCGGAAUCACUGGGCGUAAAGGACGCGUAGGCGGGUUUGUAAGUCAGGUGUGUAAUCCUACAGCUCAACUGUAGAACUGCACUUGAAACUACAGACCUAGAGUAUGGAAGGGGCAGAUGGAAUUAGUGGUGUAGGGGUAAAAUCCGUAGAUAUCACUAGGAAUACCGAAAGCGAAGGCGAUCUGCUGGGACAUUACUGACGCUGAGGCGUGAAAGCGUGGGGAGCAAACAGGAUUAGAAACCCCAGUAGUCC